GGUCAGGGGCGCGCUCGGGGCCCGAGCGAGCGAGGCGCACCGGGCAGGAGCUCGCGCCCACGGGCUUCGGUCCUAGGCGCCCGCGUAGGUUCUUGUUGGAAGGGGCGCGCUCAGGGAAUUGGCCGGGCAGAAGUAAGGCGAUCAUGCUCUGGGCCAGCGCCGCCAGCAAGGACCUUGGCGGCCAGGGAGGCGGCCUGAGGUCCCGCCCUUCCUCCCGCGCGAGGGCUUGGCAGCGCUUGGAGGCUCUGGGCGGGUCAACCCGCCGCCCUGGACGCCGGGCCGCAGCAGGUGAGGCGGCGGAAGCGCCCGCUUGCUGCUGGGCGGGGCGCGGCGGCGGUGGCCAGAGCCCGGGUCCUUCCUUCUUAGAGCGCGCCUCCCUCCUGGCACCCCCGCCUUUGUUGCGGCUGGUCCCCGGAGGCCGCACAGGUGAGGGCGGAAGCAUGGCAGGAGGCCCUCCUGCGUACCUGCGCUGUUUCUGUGCGGCCACUUCUUGGGUGCAUUAGGACGGUCUGUACUUUCAACCCUCAGUGUGCACGGACGCUCUCCUACCCCGGGCUGCAACACCCGAGAGAUUCCCCACCCUGGGCGUAUUGCGGGUCUCGCCUUAAAGCCUGGCCCAUAGUGGGUGUCCUGAAAGCCUGGACUGGAGAAGGAUUCUCGACCUGUUCCGGUGAAGGCCUUCCCAGCCUCCCACAAGUUCUCUCCUGUGGCGCCAGCCCGCAUAAUGAAUGGCUUCUUGUGGGCUUUUCCUAUUGUCAUAGCUCAGGAAGUUUUUCUUUCAAACCUUGCUUUUUUAUCUUUCAUAGAAUUGUUCCAGGAGUUCUUAAUGUCUGUCCCCACGUUUACAUCUUCUACAAAAGGGAAGUGGUGGUCUGGAUUUAAUGAAAAUGUGUAGAUAGCACUGCCCCUUUUCAGUUUCCAUGAAAUUCCAACCCACAUUAAAAAUAUCUGUACUGAUAGGUAUUUGCAUGCUUUGCAAAAGUUCUCUCUCUCUCUCUCUCUCUCUCUCUCUCUCUCUCUCUCUCCAUUGCUAUCUGUAUAUGUAGCUGGGCGCUGGUGAACACCUGUUUUCCUCAAAGUGGCUCCAUCAGGUGAAGAUGCUGGGAGCUAAUGGAAAAAAACAAACUGGGAAACCACUGGACCAAGAGUUCGGCAUCCCUGGGUCUUUGGGCUCCGCUACUGAAACCGGAUUGAGGAAUUAUACCUCUGGUCUGAGUUUCUUCAAAGCUCAUAGGAGGGAUUUACACUCUGUGGUCUGCAUUCUGUGACUGAUCAUUUCGUGUCUCAUUCAGCCAAUUGAAUUAAAGCGUCCGAUAUACUCUACUGUUGCCUGUUAUGGCUCUUGCCACAUGAUUACUGUCCCAUAAAUAAAUUCUACACUAUGGUCUCUACAAUGCCUCCAGUUAGAAUAAUGAGGUGAUUUUUUUUUCUUUUUAAAUGGAGAAAAACCCAAGUGUUGUUGGGUUUUUCUUUUAUUUUUGUUGUGUGUGUGUGUGCAUGCACGUGCUGCAAAUUGAACCCAGGUCCUCACAGCAUGCUGGGCAAGCUCUCU
rnacentral:lncRNA from 1 species